AAUCUUCCGCAAUGGGCGCAAGCCUGACGGAGCAAUGCCGCGUGAGUGACGAAGGCCUUCGGGUUGUAAAACUCUGUCCUUAGGGAAGAACGGUCUAUAUGUGAAUAAUGUAUAGCAAUGACGGUACCUAAGGAGGAAGCACCGGCUAACUACGUGCCAGCAGCCGCGGUAAUACGUAGGGUGCAAGCGUUAAUCGGAAUUACUGGGCGUAAAGCGUGCGCAGGCGGUUCGGCAAGAAGGAUGUGAAAUCCCAGGGCUUAACCUUGGAACUGCAUUCUUAACUGCCGGGCUAGAGUAUGUCAGAGGGGGGUAGAAUUCCGCGUGUAGCAGUGAAAUGCGUAGAGAUGCGGAGGAAUACCGAUGGCGAAGGCAGCCCCCUGGGAUAAUACUGACGCUCAUGCACGAAAGCGUGGGGAGCAAAC
rnacentral:rRNA from 1 species